rnacentral:rRNA from 1 species
CCUACGGGAGGCUGCAGUGAGGAAUAUUGGUCAAUGGCCGGAAGGCUGAACCAGCCAUGCCGCGUGAAGGUCAGUGCCCUUUGGGCGUUAAACUUCUUUUGUGCGGGAGCAAUAAUGGUCACGUGUGGCCAGACGAGAGUACCGUACGAAUAAGCAUCGGCAAACUUCGUGCCAGCAGCCGCGGUAAUACGGGGGAUGCAAGCGUUAUCCGGGUUUAUUGGGUUUAAAGGGUGCGUAGGAUGGGAGGUAAGUCCGCGGGGAAAUGCCCCCGCUCAACGGGGUGAAGUGCCAUUGAUACUGCCAUGCUUGAGUGCAGAUGCCGUAGGAGGAAUGUGUGGUGUAGCGGUGAAAUGCAUAGAUAUCACACAGAACACCGAUUGCGAAGGCAUCUCACGAAUCCGCGAUUGACGCUGAUGCACGAAAGCGUGGGUAUCAAACAGGAUUAGAUACCCUAGUAGUC